rnacentral:tRNA from 1 species
GCAGUGGUGGUUCAGUGGUAGAAUUCUUGCCUCCCAUGCAGGAGACCCGGAUUCGAAUCCCAGCCAAUGCA